GUCAGGAUGGCCGAGCAGUCCAGGGCUCUGGUUCAGGUCGCAGCCUUCCCUGGAGGCGUGGGUUCAAAUCCCACUUCCGACA
rnacentral:tRNA from 1 species